UGGAAAGAUGAAUCAAAGAAGGUAAUAAUCCUGUAGUCGAAAAUGUUGUCUCUCUUGAGUGGAUCCUGAGUACGACGGAGCACGUGAAAUUCCGUCGGAAUCUGGGAGGACCAUCUCCUAAGGCUAAAUACUCUCUAGUGACCGAUAGUGAACCAGUACCGUGAGGGAAAGGUGAAAAGCACCCCGGAAGGGGAGUGAAAUAGAACCUGAAACCGUGUGCUUACAAGUAGUCAGAGCCCGUUAAUGGGUGAUGGCGUGCCUUUUGUAGAAUGAACCGGCGAGUUACGAUUUGAUGCAAGGUUAAGCAGUAAAUGUGGAGCCGUAGCGAAAGCGAGUCUGAAUAGGGCGUUUAGUAUUUGGUCGUAGACCCGAAACCAGGUGAUCUACCCUUGGUCAGGUUGAAGUUCAGGUAACACUGAAUGGAGGACCGAACCGACUUACGUUGAAAAGUGAGCGGAUGAACUGAGGGUAGCGGAGAAAUUCCAAUCGAACCUGGAGAUAGCUGGUUCUCUCCGAAAUAGCUUUAGGGCUAGCCUCAAGUGAUGAUUAUUGGAGGUAGAGCACUGUUUGGACGAGGGGCCCCUCUCGGGUUACCGAAUUCAGACAAACUCCGAAUGCCAAUUAAUUUAACUUGGGAGUCAGAACAUGGGUGAUAAGGUCCGUGUUCGAAAGGGAAACAGCCCAGACCACCAGCUAAGGUCCCAAAAUAUAUGUUAAGUGGAAAAGGAUGUGGCGUUGCCCAGACAACUAGGAUGUUGGCUUAGAAGCAGCCAUCAUUUAAAGAGUGCGUAAUAGCUCACUAGUCGAGUGACACUGCGCCGAAAAUGUACCGGGGCUAAACAUAUUACCGAAGCUGUGGAUUGUCCUUUGGACAAUGGUAGGAGAGCGUUCUAAGGGCGUUGAAGCAUGAUCGUAAGGACAUGUGGAGCGCUUAGAAGUGAGAAUGCCGGUGUGAGUAGCGAAAGACGGGUGAGAAUCCCGUCCACCGAUUGACUAAGGUUUCCAGAGGAAGGCUCGUCCGCUCUGGGUUAGUCGGGUCCUAAGCUGAGGCCGACAGGCGUAGGCGAUGGAUAACAGGUUGAUAUUCCUGUACCACCUAU
rnacentral:rRNA from 1 species